UUAGCAAAAAAGUUGUAUGAUCUGUGCCUUUUUUAUAUCUUGGCAGGUAGGAAUAUUAUAUUUGGAUGCAGAAAUCAGGGAAGAUGAGUUGGUAACACUAAAUGUAAAAUAUAUGUAGCAAUCCUUGUCAGACGUUAGUACUUUAUAGACAAGUGCAUGCUUUCCAUAAUUUUUUCCUUACAUAAACAUUCAGUUAGGCAGUUAUAAGAAUAGGAAAUUUAUUUUGCACUGAAGAUUUGGCAAAUAGUGUUAUUGAAAAAGGGGUGUAAUUUUUUUCUUUGUAGGCAGUACAGAAGCUUUUUUUUUAAAAAAGAAAAACUAAAAAAAAAAAUCUUUCCAUUGUGGAAAACUAAAAAACUGAUUGUUACUGAGGGAACAAGUGUAACAUGUUCACAAGCUAGUAAUGGGUGCCUGCUGUUUGGCCAGAUGACCAGCCUAAACCAUUGAUGGCUUUCAUCCUCCCAAAAUUUUUGAAUUGCUUAUUUUAAUUUGGAGGCUAUUUCAGGAGAGAUAAGAAGAAAGUCACCACAUGUCAUGCCCUGGCAACUACAGACACAGUAGCUAAAAUAGUGAAGGUAAAAUAAAAGUUCUUCAUAUUUUGAGCUGCAGGGUCCUAAUUACCAGCCAAUAUGAAGGUGUCACAGAAUUUGAUCCAAAGUACAGCUGUACACCAGGGAAGGGUGGGAAGUGGUGGGAGGAGCUGUGCUUUCUUUCAUUUCUGAUCACAUGUUAAACUUAACUGGGCACAACUGCAUAAGGACCUUCAUUUUAGUUCAUUUUUGUUCAGAUUACUCCAGGAGAGCCACUGUUUAUGUACAGAAUUGUACAAACUUGACCUUGCCUCUGUAUUUUGGCCAGUCUGUGGUUGCUGCACCCUGGGGAUCUGCUCAUACCCUGCUCAAGCAGGGCUGGAGGAAACAGCAAAAAAAGUAAGUAAUGGCAAGAAAAAUAAUUUUCAUCUUGUUUUCCUUCUCUCUUCUUUUCCCAAUUUGUCAUGAAUAGCAUUAAAUUUUAAUAAGUUUCUUGGAAAACAUGAUUCCUGUCCUCUUAGGAGAUAAUUUCACAUUACCAAAGUAGUUUUUCCAUGUGGUAGAACAUGUUUGUAUAUUCCUCUAUAGCAGAGGUACUUCCAAGGGCAGGGAAGUUUUCCUUACUGAGCAGGAGUGCAGAAAGAGCUGACCCUUCAAAGGGCAAUAUCCAGUGAAAUUCAGCCAGCCUUUUCCCUGUGCUGCACUUUAGCAAAUGGGGUUCUCCCCUCCCCACUACUAACAAAUUGUCUGUAGGUUUAAGCUGUCUUUAGAACUAAGUGGUAAUAAUUGAAAAAAGCCCUUUUUAGGGUAAAACAGGAGGGGCAGGCAGCGUGAAAUACAGCAUCUGUCAAAGCAGUCAUCAGGGGCUGCUUGCAGGUACAAAACCCAGCUUAAACCUGCUGUUAAAUUACUAUGAAUCACAUGGGGAUUUCUAAAAGUAUUUUUGUCCCUAAUACCAUUUUGAACCAC
rnacentral:lncRNA from 1 species